CUUUUCUCCUAGUAUAGCUAUGUGUCCUGAGAACUGUAAAUAAUGUAAGCAUUUUAUUUCUUCUUAGGAAACCUUGUGCAGACAAGGCGGUGGACGGGGCAGUUUCACACUUGUAGACCCUGGGCUCAUUUUCCUGCGUUCUCUAGGGGGAGUGCUGUGUUGCCUGUUGGGAAGAGCUUUGCAGAUAUCCUGGGCACUAAAAGCAAGCACCUGUGGUGAUUCAGGAAGCGUCCCCUUCCCGCUGAAAUCACCAUCGAGCCUGGAUACCGUGCCCUUCUUCACAGGGUGCCCGGGAACUCAUCCAUCCUGGGGGGUUCGCAGCGCUGGGUGACAUUUGGAGCCUUGGCCGACUGCUAACGUCGUACACUGUGACUGGGCAUCCCUCUCCAAGGGGGCUAUGCGGUACCGACACACUGCAAAUGGUACUUAGGUGUCUCCAACUAUCUUUUUUUUCCCCUUGGAGAACAGGCUUCUUAAAUCCUCUGUUGGGACAAAUUUUCAUGUAAUAAAUUACGUUCUACU